rnacentral:lncRNA from 1 species
CUGUAGUGGCUGAAAAGACAAAGGACUGCCGUCACUGAGUGAUGGGUUGAUGGAGCCUACAAUAGUUCGAAGCAUAGUUCCCCUCAUGGUGAAUGACUGAAUGACGAUGCGCCAAUGACAAAUCGUGAAGGUGGAAGAUCAUAAUGGUCUCCUUUAUUCAUCAAAGCACCCAAAAACAUAUCUAACAAAGGAAUGAUGAAUCUCGCUAGAAAUAGAC